UGAGCACGCCUGGCCGGACUUCCCCGAGGAGCUUCCGGAACUGCCACCAAGCCCUGGCCGAGAGGAGCCUAUGCUGAUUGACUGGCCUGGACCCGUGCAACCGACGAGCCCACUGUAACAGCGGACGCGUAAGGAGUCGGUGUGGCUCCCCUCCUGCCCCAGGACGGUCAAGCCCCGGCCCAAUCGAUUACAAGCAGCAGCUGGAGGAGAAAUUGGCAGAAGUGGACCUGAGCUGCCUGGAAAUCCUCUUAAGUGGAGAUCAACAGUCCUCCGCUUUCUGCCUCCCACAUAACUGCCUUACCAAGGGAAAAGAAGUGGAGGGUCAGAGUCUGCUCCCCUCGUGCGAUGGAAAGCAAGUAAGAGCGGAGAGACAGUGAACGUUACUGAUGCCAGGCAAGAGCCGUCCAGCUUGGAGCCGAGUAGCCGUCACUGUCAGUGAGAGAAGUGUCUUGUUAGCUGCGCUGGUACAGGAAUUGUCCAGGAACCCUACCCGGAGGAGAGAGACUCAGAAGUGAACCUGAUCAGCCUGAACAUCCUUCUAAGCAGACAUGAACAGUCCUCAGCUUUCUGCCUCCUGCAUAAAUGGCUGAAAAAUCAUGUGCCAGUCUACUGCCCUCACGUGAUGGAAAGCGAGCAAGAGCGAUGAGACCGUGAGCAUGGUUGAUGCCACGCAAAAGCCGUCCAUCUGGCAGCAGAAGAGCCAUCACUGUCAGUGAGAAGUUUCAGAGUAGCAGCCGUGUUAGUCUGUAUCC